AUUGAACGCUGGUGGCAGGCCUAACACAUGCAAGUCGCGCGGACCGGCGGACGGGUGAGUAAUGCCUAGGAAUCUGCCUGGUCGUGGGGGAUAACGUCCGGAACCGGGCGCUAAUACCGCAUCCUAUCAGUUGAGCUUAGGCCGGAUUAGCUAGUUGGGGGGGUAAAGGCCUACCAAGGCGACGAUCCGUAACUGGUCUGAGAGGAUGAUCAGUCACACUGGAACUGAGACACGGUCCAGACUCCUACGGGGGGCAGCAGUGGGGAAUAUUGGACAAUGGGCGAAAGCCUGAUCCAGCCAUGCCGCGUGUGUGAAGAAGGUCUUCGGAUUGUAAAGCACUUUAAGUUGGGAGGCGUUACCAACAGAAUAAGCACCGGCUAACUUCGUGCCAGCAGCCGCGGUAAUUC
rnacentral:rRNA from 1 species